UACGAGUGCCUCAAGCGUUAUCCGGAAUCAUUGGGCGUAAAGGUUGUGUAGGUGGUUGUAUUAGUCUCUUGUUAAAUUCUUCGGCUUAACUGGGGGCAUGCAAGGGAAACGGUACAACUCGAGGAUGCGAGGGGUCUGCGGAACUCAUAGUGUAGCGGUGAAAUGCGUUGAUAUUAUGGGGAACACCAAAAGCGAAGGCAGCAGACUGGAGCACUCCUGACACUGAAACAAGAAAGCGUGGGUCGCGAAUGGG
rnacentral:rRNA from 1 species